UGUCUCCCAGGAAGAUUCCCUGCACCUAGUAAAAAUAAAAACACUGCUUCUGUCUUUCGGCAUGUUGCUAACAAUUUCCAUUUGAUUUGUUCCUUUAACCAGGCAGUAAGAAAACUCAAUGGUUUGAUCGUGAUGACCCAGUAGGAAAUGGUGAUUUUGAGGAUCUGGAGAACCUUCGGAAGGAAAAUCCUGGUCAGAUCUGCGAUAGCCCAAUUGCCUGUGAAGUACAGACAGUGUCAAACCAGUCAGCCUCAAGCACUGGGGAUGUUAUUCCUGAGUGCAGCACAUUGACUGGGUUUACUUGCGUGAAUAAAGAACAAAAGUUUAAGCUCUGUGAAGAUUACAAAAUACGAUUUACCUGCCCUUAAUCUUUUUGGACAAGUGAGCAGGAAAGCAGUCACAGGACCUGCCUCUGGAGCCAGCCAGGCCUGCUUCAGGCUCAAUAUUUGAUGGAGUUGCUGUACAUAAACAUUAGUCUGAUGGAUUUGGAGACAAAUAAAAAGCAGUUACAGAGAGAAAGUCACAUCAUAUAGACUUGGAGUUACUGACUAAUCACAUUGAACUAUACUACCUGCAUAACUGUAUAGAAAUUGAAUUUAUAUAUCAUUUUGAGAAAUGUUGGAAAUUGGUAAUUAUUAGGGAGCAGAACUCUUGGAGCUGUAUGCAUUUAGUUAUAGUAAUUAACAAAUAGGUUGCAUGUGAGGGAAAAG